GGCAAUGGUGGCUCAAUGGUUAAGACUCUGGGUUCCUGAUCAAUAGGUUGGGGGUUCAAGCCCCUCUUGGCUGCCA